GAGUUGUAAGGGAAUAGGAGUCUUGAGUAGGAGUCCUAUUAGGAGUUGGUUAGGAGUAAGAGUCUUAAGUAGGAGUCCUAUUAGGAGUUAGGGUUUAGAAGCCCUAUAAAUAGCUAUGUAUUCCUUCUCUUUUCUUAAGCAAUAGAUGAAUCUUUUCUGCAGCCUUUGAGCAGCAACUUGGAGGGAGGAACCCCUAUAGAGUUCCAAGGAGGCCGAUCCCCUAAAGAGAUCAACCCCAAGUUUAGAAUCUGCAAGGGUUCUAACACCUGGUAUCAGAGCAGCGUUCUUGGCGUCUCGCUGCCCUUCCACAGCCAUCCAUCAACCCUCCACAACCGUCCAAAGCAAUUCCCACAAUUGCUUAAAAGAUCGUCACCGAAUUCCGCCAUCAUCUCCACCACCGCGGAUCAUCCUUUGAUCUCCCCGUGAAUUGCAACAGGUUCUGGUUUCCUACCUUACUGCUGCUGCAAUUUAGUUAUCCUUAUUCGAAAAUCCAAAAAAAAAAAAAUUGUUCCUAUAUUGCUGCAUAAACUUUUCGUCACAAAGUUUUCAUCUCUACGACGAAUGAUACAUUGCA
rnacentral:lncRNA from 1 species